rnacentral:rRNA from 1 species
UACGUAGGGUGCAAGCGUUAAUCGGAAUCACUGGGCGUAAAGCGCACGUAGGCGGACUCUUAAGUCGGUGGUGAAAUCCUGGAGCUCAACUCCAGAACUGCCUUCGAUACUGAGAGUCUCGAGUCCGGGGAGAGGUGAGUGGAACUGCGAGUGUAGAGGUGAAAUUCGUAGAUAUUCGACAAGAACACCAGUGGCGAAGGCGGCUCACUGGCCCGGUACUGACGCUGAGGUGCGAAAGCGUGGGGAGCAAACAGG